rnacentral:lncRNA from 1 species
AUUAGUUGGUAAAAGUCAAGAUGACAAAAUGGAUUUAUAAUUGAGAGUUGCAUAUUUAUUGCUUUGUCUAUGAUGGGUGAGUGGGAGAUGAUAGAGUUUGUUAUAUAUCUAAAUUGUCCAAAAUGUUCAGACUCAUGAGAUGAGAGUCAUUUCCCCACUUCUCUAUAACUAAUAUAGGUUAAGGUUCUAAGAUUGAUCUUCGAACCAACAUACCCUAUCCCUUCGAGCUUAUAAAUAUGGGGCUUGCAAAUCCAUAUGUUUUAUUAGAUAGGACUUUUAACUUGUAUACAAACAGUGUUACCUCUAUAGCAUUCUCCACCAUGAUAUCCCAUUGGAACAUUGUGAGAGCAUCUCAAAGUUUUGAAUCAGGUAUGUUUGACUUAAAUUAUUUGAUUGGUUUUUUGUUUUUUUAUGUUUUUGUUCUCAAUGUGUGAUAGUUGGAAAAGUACUUUAACCUUUUACACGUUUCUCGUAUUGUUAUUUAAGGUUUUUUAACUACAUACAACCAUACUAAAGCUAUAUGAUCAUUAACAGAAAAAAUAACAUGAAUCAAUCUCAAUUUGAAAAAAUAGAUUGAUUUUAAUCCCAAUAUAUAUCCCUUGAGCCAGAAAAAGUCAUGAGAUGGUUUGGACCACUACUAUGUUUUCCUUAUCUUGGGAGGUGCUAGGAUUUAAAGUUUGAAGAAGACACAUGCUUUAAAAAAGCAAAGCUGUUGAAGCAAACCCACAUCUAUUUCCUUUACCUUUAAUGAAUAUGCCUCCUACUAAAAUUGAAAACAAUCCCAUAUGAAAUGAAAAUGGAAGGCAUGGGUAAAGAUAAAUUAAUUCACCUCUACCACUUUAGGAAAUAGAAACCAAAAUUCAACCGGGAUAAAUCCAUUUUUUUUUCUUAUUUACUACUAGUCUUAGACGUGAUUUAGGAUAAUUUUACACUUUCGGUUUUAAUUAUAAUCUCUAAUCUUCAUUCUAAAAUAUAAAUAAUUUUUUCUUUUAUUUAUUUUUAUGUUGAACUCUUUUUAAAUUUAAAAACUUUUUUAUUGAAAUAAUUUUGAUAACAAUAAAAGUUAUUGUGGGCAUAAAAAACUAACUAUUAAUCCUUAAAUUAUUAUUUAUAUUUUUUUCAUUUAAUGCUACAUACACACACACACACACACACAUAUAUAUAUAUAUAUAUAUAUAUAUAUAUAUAUAUAUAUAUAUUUAAAAAAAAUAAUUUGAAGGUGUUAUUCUGAGAAGUUAAUAGAUUGUAAACAACAUAGCUAAAAAGAAAAAGUUGAGCUUUAGUUACUAAUAUGUUUUGUUCACAUUGAAAAUAUAACUCACAUUUGUAACGAGAAUCAUCUUGUCUACCUUUUCUCUAAAGAUGCAAUUUUAAAUUGUUAGAGUACAAUUGGAAAAGGGUGUCUGAAAGCACGUUAUUACUCAACUAAUUAACUUCAUUAUAUAGUCUCCAUUUAAUAGUUCACUACAACAAAUGUGGGUUUUUCCUUGUACUAACUUGUGCUUAAAAAAGAGCCUUUCAUGACAAAAAAAUUUUGUCUACAAAUUUUUUGUUUUUUAUUUUUAUUUUUAUUUUUAUUUUAUCUUUUUAUGGUGAGGUGUUGCUAUAAGUCCAUCAACAAUUAUUUUUAACCAUAAAAAAAUGAAUUUUAUAACCAAAAGCUAAAAUUUUGCCACAAAAUAAAAUUUGUGGCAACAUGUUAUUCUUCACCACUAGAUAAAAUUUGUGGCAACACCAUCACUUUUUACAACAAGACAAGUUCAUAGCAAAAAUGAAAAUUUUCCAUGAACACAAAAUUCAUGGUAAAAGGUCACCAUGAAAAAUAUUUAUAGUUACUAAUCAAAUUCCAUCAUAAAAGAAUUGUGGCAAAAGUUUAUUUUCAAUAAAAAAAUUUAUUUAUUUUUUCUAACGAUUCUAAAUUUAGUCUAUAUUUCCAUUAUGUAUUUAGUUCAAUUUAGUCAUUCUCAACUACAUGCCUUGUAAAUCUUGCUUCUAUUAUCAUUAUAUCUAAUAGUUUCAUUAGAAUUAUCUAGUUAUGUUCUAUUCUUUUUCAUACUUCAUCUAUUUGUUAGGCUGGUAAUUCCACUUUAGAUUCUAAUAUAGAGUGGGCUCACUGUCUCCUAGUGAGCCACUUUUUGGGUAGAUUAUUAUGUGUAGCGUUGUAUGCGGGGCAAAAGGAUAUAUGUUUUACUAUAGUUUUUAUUUUGAGAAAUAAAAAAGUCUUCCUUUUUUUAUUUAUAUUAUUAUAAAUAAUUAAAUAUAUUAUUGAUUUGGUAUCAAUCAAAUAUGCAAUCUAGAUCAUUCAAGUGUAAAGUAUAACCUAAGCCAUUGAAUAAUAGUAUAAAUAUAUGAGUCUCAUAAAUAAAAAAAAUUGAGAUUGAGGUACAAAGUAACAAAAUCAAGAUAUAAGGAAAUGAGGCCUAAACACAAACUAAUUGAAACAUUCAAAAGUCAUAAGUUAAUACAACUUUUUUUUUAAUAUAUUAUAUUUUGUUACUAACACUUUUUGAUAUAGUAACAAAAAAAAAGGUCUUUUUGACAUGUACUAAUGAAUAUCCCAAUUAUUAUUUCUUAAAUUUUGGAUCAUGUUCUAUAUAUCAAUAUGGAUAUGGCAAUUAUCUAUUAGCUCUAAUUGACUGUUACCAUUAUAGGAAAAGAUAGGAGGAACUUGUAACUAAAAAAACUUAAGUUAUAUUCUCUCCAUCCCAUUGUUGAAAAUAUUGAGAGAUGUUACUUAAGAUAAGGCAGAACUGUUUAAUGAAUUCGAAGCUAGAGAAAGUAGCGAGCAAGCCACCCAUAAAUAAAUAUAUGCUGUAAUGUUAUUUUCAUGUGCAGGUGAGUGGAAACUCCAUAUAUUUUUUGGACUUGUAUGGAACUGUGAAG